rnacentral:lncRNA from 1 species
AUGGAUUCAAUAUUAUAAAUGUCACUUUGAGUUACAAGGUGAGAUUUGCUUCUUCAUAAACAAAAACUCUAUCGUAAAUUAACUUAGAAAUUAAAAUAUCCUCUAAAUCUAUAUAUAUUUAGACAUCAUCUUUAGUCUUCGACGCUGUUCUUGCCAAGCAUAUCGCCACCAAACAUGUAUCUCUCCGGCGAGCAAGUAACUCCUGGCAAAAAGAAGUUAAUCUAGCCACUUCAGUGCUGUCGAAGCAACUGCAGCUUUAUUCAUUGUUUAAUCCCUUCCAGUCACUCCCAGUAACCAUCGCUUGUGAUAUUUCUAAAGAUAACCAAAUAGAUCCAAAGGCUAAAAUCAUAAUCAUUACAUGUUCUGUCGUUGGACUCUCUCAUAAUUUCGUGAUACACGCUGCCUCGUGGACACUGCAGUGGAUGGAUGGGAUUCUUCGUCGUUUUGAGGUCUUUCUCGAGGGUCCUGUCCUGUUCCGGGACGAGUCUUCAUGAGUUUUGUAUAGUCUCGAUUCUCAAUGCGGCUGUUCUAAUUGUUAAACUUUUCUUUGGAAAUUGAUUUGGAAAGAUUGGGUCUGCGUGUAAAUUAUUAAGUUAAUUCAAAUCAAC